UACGGAGGGUGCAAGCGUUGUCCGGAUUUAUUGGGUUUAAAGGGUGCGUAGGCGGUUCGUUAAGUCCGGGGUGAAAGCCCACUGCUCAACAGUGGAACUGCCCUGGAAACUGGCGGACUUGAGUACAGACGAGGGCGGCGGAAUGGAUGGUGUAGCGGUGAAAUGCAUAGAUACCAUCCAGAACCCCGAUUGCGAAGCAGCUGCCUAGACUGUAACUGACGCUGAGGCACGAAAAGCGGUGGGGGAGCGAAACAGGGAUUAG
rnacentral:rRNA from 1 species